CAGUGAAGUUGAUUCUGACUCAACCCUAAUCUCGUCUGAUCAUGGAAGCUAAACAGGGUCAGAUCUGGUUAGUAUUUGAAUGGAAGAUCCCCUGGGAAUACCAGGCCAUAGA
rnacentral:rRNA from 1 species